ACAGAGGUGGCAAGCGUUGUUCGGAAUUAUUGGGCGUAAAGAGCACGUAGGCGGCCCUACAAGUCAGCUGUGAAAUCCUUCUGCUCAACGGAAGAACGGCAGUUGAUACUAUAGGGCUGGAGUGCGGGAGGGGAGAGUGGAACUUCUGGUGGAGCGGUGAAAUGCGUAGAUAUCGGGAGGAACACCAGUGGCGAAAGCGGCGCCCUGGCACUGGCCUGGCGCUCAUGUGCGAAAGCGUGGGGAGCGAACGG
rnacentral:rRNA from 1 species